UGUUAAAAAUUUUAUUCAUUUCUACUGUUAAAAUUGGAAUGGCUAACAAAAAUAAUCAAACAGUGACAUAUGAUAUGUCACAUGUACAUCAUGAUUUAUAAGAAUAAAUUUUUAAAAGUAAAAAUAAAUGAAAAUUUUAACA
rfam:Gossypium hirsutum cultivar TM-1 unplaced genomic scaffold scaffold821.1, whole genome shotgun sequence